ensembl:lncRNA
AUUGUAUGAGUGGUGGGUGGAUGGGUUUGGAAACGUGUGCUCUCUACACACUGUAUGUUACUCACAUCAGAAGCUGUAUGGCCACUCCAUAUGCUGUGAAACUGUAAAUGAUUCCCAGUACACCUGUAACUCUUUACCAGGAUUGUGAGAAAUAAACUAUAUACAGAGAUAUAUAUACACACAUAGAUAUAUUGUAUAAUUCCUCCUGUGAGCAUCUUUGUGUAUGCGGGGGUGUGAGUGAAAAUGGCUGUUCUCCCUCUCCCUCCUUACUCAUGCCCAUGCUUCCUACAGGUUUAGUAUUUGCUAGGAGUAGUAAUUCCAGUAAGAACUGUAAGCAAAGGCAGUUCCUGCCACAACUAAAUGCCAGCCUGCCUGAGGAAAGCAGGCAAAGGAAUAUUAUUGUUAUUCCCACAUGGAAGCUAAAGCAUGGAAUUAGACUUGCCCAGAGCCACAAAGGAAACAUUACUGAUCCCAGUGAUCCCCUGGUCUCCAGGCUUGGCUGCAGAGUUUGCUGGGUCCUCUCCCCUCCCAAAUCCCUGUGGUUUGACGGGUUUUGUCUUUAAGUUGGCCCGGAAGCAUCCAUCAUGAGUAAACCAUCCCCUGGAUACCUGGCUGAUGUCCAGAGGGGUUCCUGCAGGUCAGUGAGCCAGGGAUUCCCUUGACCUGUCAAGUUCAAGGGGAGACCUUAUAACAGUCUUCCAAUACCUAAAGGGGCUACAAGAAACCUGGAGAGGAGCUUUGGACAAGGGCCUGCAGGGACAGAACGAGGCGAAUGGCUUUAACCUGCCAGAGGGGAGAUUGAAAUGAGCUCUUAGGCAGAAGCUCUUCCCUGUGAGGGUGCUGAGGCGCUGGCACAGGGUGCCCAGAGAAGCUGUGGCUGCCCCAUCCCUGGCAGUGUUCAAGGCCAGGUUGGACACAGGGGCUUGGAGCAACCUGCUCUAGUGGAAGGUGUCCCUGCCUGUGGCAGGGGGUUGGAACUGGAGGAGCUUUAAACUCCCUUCCAACACAAACCAGGCUGGGAUUCUAAUUACCUUCUCAUGACUGGGAAGGCAUCAGGGAUGCUACAACUUGGAAGGUUUCCCUAUAGUUUGGACUCAGUGGAGGCACCUGUACAGACUGUUCUCCUUGGCCUGAGAUGAAACAGUGCUGCUGGCUUGAUAGAGAGGAGGGGGAACAGGCUGCAGAAUCUUCCUCUUGUGUCUCCUUCAAACAAAAAACGUAUGUCUUCUCACUGCCAAGGAGGGCAGUGGCAGAGACACAUCAGUGCAGCUGUGCUGCCAAGAUAGGGAGCAAUAACAUCAGCUCGGUGCUUUCAAACACUGCUUUGGCUAUGUUCCACCCAUCCAUUCUGUGUUUCAUCUACUUCCUGCCCUCCAUGUAUUUAUAGAAAUUUAAUAAGUAUGAAAAUCAGAGGCUACAUUUACAAUUAGCUCAAACUAUGCUCUGCUUUUCCCUGCUCCCUUCUACUCACCAUUUAACCACAGAAAAUGAUGCAGUGCCAAAUCACUGUGUUAUAAACAAGAAAUGUGGCAGUUCUGUUCUACCACACCAGAUCUGAGGAGGAGGCAGUCAUCUGAUUUGAAUUAACCGUAACAUUCAGGCUCUGUCAAAAAGAAUGGUCUGUGUGAAGCAGCAAAUAACUCAUUGUCCUUGUGAUCCCAUCACUGUGCUGUUAUUACUUGUAUUUGUUAACCACACAAAUGAAGCAGAGAAGGGCUGCAAAGCAUUUCCAGUGCUUGCUGGAAGAGAAUUCAACAGGAGAUCAUUUGGAAAGCAGGGAAAGAUCAAGUAUUAAGACAUCACUGGACAAUUUAAUCUCCCAGCAACUGGGGCAUGCUCAAAAAGAUUGUUCUUAAAUCUUUUCCCCUUAAACCAUUGUCACAUCCUCUAAUGCUUUGUAUUUGGGGCAGUCAAGGGAGGGUGGGAGGAGCUGAUGGAGCAGGAUUUGAGACAGGAGUUUUCUUUUAGCAAAAGCACUGGAUUCACAAGCAAGGACUAAGGAGCAUAAAUGUGAUGCUCUGUGCCAUGAAGGCUUAGGCUGCUGGGGUGGCACUAAAUCCUUCACUCAGUAGCUAAACUCAAUAGUGAAAGAUACACUUUGGGUUUAUUUGGGGUUUUAAAAUAAUUUUCUGGGAGUUAAGAUGGAGCAAAGAAGGAGGAACGUCCAGGUAUCUCCCUAGUUAACCAGCUUACGGAUCCAGAACACACUUUUGGAGAGAAAAAGAAACUGAUGCACAAAUGAUUGAAGAGAUGGA